UAUGGCCAUAUCAGGUCGAAACAUUAGUUCCCGUAUGAUCACCAAAUUUAAGCAACAUCGAGCCUGGUCAGUACCUAGAUGGGUAACCAAGUGGGGAUACCAGGUGCUGUAUG